UUGUACCAUGUAGGCUUUAUUGAUGAUAACCUCAAUGAAAAUUAUAGCGGCCCUAUUCAUCAGUACAUAUUUAAGUUUAAUAUUUUUUAUUCCUUCGACGAGACUACUCGUACACCCAGACAUUACUUAUUUUCCAAUGUACCCAGAGCAUGAUAACCAGUACUUGGAAGCAGAAUGACACGGAACAUGGAGACUCGUACUUUACCUGAAGACUAAAAAUGUCUACUAUUUAGAAUUAAUAAUUAAUGAUUAUUAAUGUAAUUUGAAGAGGAGAUUACAGGUAAAUUCCAACAUUAUUUAUUUUCCCAUGGACUUGGAGCAUAAAAAAUUGUUUUUGGAACCAUUAAUCCCGGAGCAUGAGGACUUUGACUUGACCUGAAUACUGAAAAGAAUGAAUAAUUAAUUAUUAUUUAUGGAUUUUGAAGAGGAUCUAAAUAAAGAUGCAACAUACUUAAUAGUAAUUAUGAAUAUAGGUACAUACGAGUAUAAUAUUAGAAAUGUAUCUUAAUAUUUCCUUAUGUAUAUUGAUUGCUCCAUGUUGUUUUUAUUGAAGGUAACUUCAACAAAAAUAUGUAGUGGCAUCAUUCAUUAGUACACAUUUAAGUUUAAUAUUUUUUUACCGGAAUUAAGAAGCUAAAUUUUUACUCUAUAUGUAUUCUAAUUUACCCAAAGACAAAAAGAUAAUUUUUUCUACAAGUUCUUUCUUCACCUUUGACAACAAUACAUUACUGCGUUUCGCUCUAUUGACUUUGUGAUGGGUAGCGAGAAGGAAUAGUUUUACUAUUUCCAUAAAUUUUACAAGAUUUGGAUCACUAUUUAUAUGGAGAGGACAUUAGAGGAGACAUGUACCUUGUUCAUAUCUGAUAUUAAAUUACAAAGCAUCAGGACUUGAUUCAACUAUAUAUAUUAUUUGAAUAAAACUUUAAAUUAUUA
rnacentral:lncRNA from 1 species